AUUUAAAAUAACGUUUAAACUAAUAAUUUAUAUUCACUGCAUUCUGUACUUCCCUCAUUGAAACAUAAGAACAGAUAACGAAACGUGAACUAGUUCUUUAGUUCUCUUUACAGAUUAUGGAAUGUGUUACAUGUAUAUUAUUGGCUUUUUUUAAGUUUUUAGUAUCAUAAUUAAUAUAUUAAAAAAGGGUCUGGCUUUUAACAAGCGAACGAGCUAUUUACAUAUUUCAUAAAAUUGGAGAAGACUUUCACUUAACCGGAGGUCAAGUUAAAUAAAGUGCCGCUCAAAGCCGCAAAACAAAUUACCACACGUUCACCCCCAACUCCACUUUCUCUGAUACUCAACACCCAACCAUAUAAUCCUCAUAAAUAUGAAACAAUCAAAUAAAAAAGGAAUAAAGAACAAAUGCUGCAGGGGUUGCGGGGAACAUGCGACAACCCUACUCGGUCGAACUUUUACGGGCGACCUGGUGCCCAACAAACAAAAGGGAAAAAGGAAACUGCUGCCGCUAAAGGGGUAAAAAGUUGCAUUUAUGCUAUAAAAAGAAACCGUACUUUUGGGUUGAAUAAUGGCUAGCAUUUUGUUUUGCAAUUAGCAGGCGUGGAAUGGGUGAAUAUUUUCCAUGACCAGAUUGCCAUCAAUUGUACGGAAAAAUCUGUUCUUCGAAAUUUGGUCGUUUCCACGUGGGUUCGCAUAUGAUACUGUUGUAUAACAUAAAAAACGCAAUAAUGAUAAGUCUUUAAAACUACUGGUCGAUAAUUAAAACGGAAGCUUUGAAAGUCCAGAGAGGAUUAAAUCGAUCUGUGUGCCAUCUCUAAAGUUUCUUCUUCCACAACUCGCUUGGAAUCUUCCGUUUCGCUUUUGAUUUUUGUCAAAUCCUAUCUUUCUAUUAAAUAAAAUUAAAAUCUCAAUUAGUCCUGAAAAGAACUCUGUUCCUCUGCGGUACUGGUUAUCUAGUGCAAUUCUAAAACACUGAGCCAAUUUCGGAUAAAAUAU